rnacentral:rRNA from 1 species
AGAGUUUGAUCCUGGCUCAGAACGAACGCUGGCGGCAGGCUUAACACAUGCNGUCGAACGCACCUUUCGGGGUGAGUGGCAGACGGGUGAGUAACGCGUGGGAACGUGCCCUUCAGUUCGGAAUAACCCAGGGAAACUUGGGCUAAUACCGGAUACGUGCGAGAGCAGAAAGAUUUAUCGCUGAAGGAUCGGCCCGCGUCUGAUUAGCUAGUUGGUAGGGUAAUGGCCUACCAAGGCGACGAUCAGUAGCUGGUCUGAGAGGAUGAUCAGCCACAUUGGGACUGAGACACGGCCCAAACUCCUACGGGAGGCAGCAGUGGGGAAUAUUGGACAAUGGGCGCAAGCCUGAUCCAGCCAUGCCGCGUGAGUGAUGAAGGCCUUAGGGUUGUAAAGCUCUUUCAGUGGGGACGAUAAUGACGGUACCCGCAGAAGAAGCCCCGGCUAACUUCGUGCCAGCAGCCGCGGUAAUACGAAGGGGGCUAGCGUUGUUCGGAAUCACUGGGCGUAAAGGGCGCGUAGGCGGCUUUGUAAGUCGGGGGUGAAAGCCUGUGGCUCAACCACAGAAUUGCCUUCGAUACUGCAUGGCUUGAGACCGGAAGAGGUUAGUGGAACUGCGAGUGUAGAGGUGAAAUUCGUAGAUAUUCGCAAGAACACCAGUGGCGAAGGCGGCUGACUGGUCCGGUUCUGACGCUGAGGCGCGAAAGCGUGGGGAGCAAACAGGAUUAGAUACCCUAGUAGUCC